rnacentral:misc_RNA from 1 species
ACUCAAAACCUUGGAACUCAGGCUCCUGCAAAACUUCAACGAACAUAUUGAGGCAUAUAUUUCCUGGUGAGCGACUCUCUGAGUGGACUUCACAAGAGAAAAUACUAUAUUGGCGCAGUUCAUUAUCAAGAUCCUGUAUUUCUUUAUCAAGAGCUUGCACUUUUGCAUCUUCACCAUUAAGAGCAGCAUCACUUUGAGUUUUCUUUAGAUUUUCCAGAUGGCAGAGUGCAACAUAGUGCAGUUCAUCCUUCAAUUUGGAAAAGAAUUCCACAUAAUCAUUUAGCUCUAUUUUGGUAGAAUAUUUUGUAUGACACUCUUGAAGACCAUGAACAGAGGUCUGGUCUUCAGCUCUGGCUCCUGUAGAGGCAUCUUGAAAUUCCCAGGAAUCAUCAUCAAAAUCAUGAUUAGCAUUUGUCAAAUUAGAGGACAUCACAGUUUUGGUGAAAUCCAAUUCAUUUUCACUCAGACUUUGUUCAUGAUUAACUAAAUGACUCUGCUCAGCUUGACUGUAUAAAUUCGAUAUUAGAUCAUUGAUAGAAAUAUUAAAAUGGGGACUCUUAAU